CCGUUGUCAUUGCGUGAGUCGAUUUUAAAUAUGAAAAUUAUUUAAUCCGUAAAAAUUAUGCGAUCUCCAUUACAUAUUUUUUGUCUGGAAAGAAAGUAAUAUUGUCACAUUGCUAUGAGAAAUGGUAGCCAGAAGUGAAGCGUGUGACGGGGUUUCAAUUUGAAACCUUUAUUUGUUCAGUUGCUGAAUUAUUUUAAACUUUGACUAGCUUUUACUCCAUACUGCGAACGUGUGAUUUGCUGUGAGAUAACUAUGAAAAAUUACUUUGAUGUAAAUAACCUCAUUCUUUUCAAAAUAUACGAUUCUUAAUUUC